CCUACGGGUGGCAGCAGUGAGGAAUAUUGGUCAAUGGGCGCGAGACUGAACCAGCCAAGUAGCGUGAAGGAUGACUGCACUAAGGGUUGUAAACUUCUUUUAUAAGGGAAUAAAGUGAGGCACGCGUGCCUUUUUGUAUGUACCUUAUGAAUAAGGAUCGGCUAACUCCGUGCCAGCAGCCGCGGUAAUACGGAGGAUCCGAGCGUUAUCCGGAUUUAUUGGGUUUAAAGGGAGCGUAGACGGGUUGUUAAGUCAGUUGUGAAAGGCUGCGGCUCAACCGUAGAACUGCAGUUGAUACUGGCAGCCUUGAGUACAGUAGAGGUAGGCGGAAUUCGUGGUGUAGCGGUGAAAUGCUUAGAUAUCACGAAGAACUCCGAUUGCGAAGGCAGCCUACUAAACUGCCACUGACGUUGAGGCUCGAAAGUGUGGGUAUCGAACAGGAUUAGAUACCCGAGUAGUC
rnacentral:rRNA from 1 species